rnacentral:rRNA from 1 species
UUGAACGCUGGCGGCAUGCUUUACACAUGCAAGUCGAACGGCAGCGGGGGCUUCGGCCUGCCGGCGAGUGGCGAACGGGUGAGUAAUGCAUCGGAACGUACCCAGUCGUGGGGGAUAACUACGCGAAAGCGUGGCUAAUACCGCAUACGCCCUGAGGGGGAAAGCGGGGGACCUUCGGGCCUCGCGCGAUUGGAUUGGCCUAUGUCUGAUUAGCUAGUUGGUGAGGUAAAGGCUCACCAAGGCUUCGAUCAGUAGCUGGUCUGAGAGGAUGAUCAGCCACACUGGAACUGAGACACGGUCCAGACUCCUACGGGAGGCAGCAGUGGGGAAUUUUGGACAAUGGGCGAAAGCCUGAUCCAGCCAUUCCGCGUGAGUGAAGAAGGCCUUCGGGUUGUAAAGCUCUUUCGGCAGGAACGAAAUGGUCACGGUUAAUAACCGUGACUUCUGACGGUACCUGAAGAAGAAGCACCGGCUAACUACGU